rnacentral:rRNA from 1 species
UACGAAGGGGGCUAGCGUUGUUCGGAAUCACUGGGCGUAAAGCGCACGUAGGCGGAUUGUUAAGUCGGGGGUGAAAUCCUGGAGCUCAACUCCAGAACUGCCUUCGAUACUGGCGAUCUCGAGUCCGGGAGAGGUGAGUGGAACUGCGAGUGUAGAGGUGAAAUUCGUAGAUAUUCGCAAGAACACCAGUGGCGAAGGCGGCUCACUGGCCCGGUACUGACGCUGAGGUGCGAAAGCGUGGGGAGCAAACAGG